AUAUCGGACAAUGGGGGCAACCCUGAUCCAGCCAUGCCGCGUGUGCGAAGAAGGUCUCCGGACUGUAAAGCACUUUAAGUUGGGAGGAAGGGGUUGAAGCUAAUACCUUCAGUCUUUGACGUUACCAACAGAAUAACCCCCGGCUAACUCUGUGCCAGCAGCCGCGGUAAUACAGAGGGGGCAAGCGUUAAUCGGAAUUACUGGGCGUAAAGCGCGCGUAGGUGGUUCAGUAAGAUGGAAGUGAAAUCCCCGGGCUUAACCUGGGAACUGCUUUCAUAACUGCUGAGCUAGAGUACGGUAGAGGGUAGUGGAAUUUCCUGUGUAGCGGUGAAAUGCGUAGAUAUAGGAAGGAACACCAGUGGCGAAGGCGACUACCUGGACUGAUACUGACACUGAGGUGCGAAAGCGUGGGGAGCAAACA
rnacentral:rRNA from 1 species